rnacentral:rRNA from 1 species
CCUACGGGAGGCAGCAGUGAGGAAUAUUGGUCAAUGGACGAGAGUCUGAACCAGCCAAGUAGCGUGAAGGAUGACUGCCCUAUGGGUUGUAAACUUCUUUUAUAUGGGAAUAAAAAGUUCAACGAGUGGGUUUUUGUAUUUACCUUAUGAAUAAGGAACGGCUAACUCCGUGCCAGCAGCCGCGGUACUACGGAGGAUCCGAGCGUUAUCCGGAUUUAUUUGGUUUAAAGGGAGCGUAGGUGGAUUGUUAAGUCAGUUGUGAAAGUUUGGGGCUCAACCGGAAAAUUGCAGUUGAAACUGGCAGUCUUGAGUACAGUAGAGGUGGGCGGAAUUCGUGGUGUAGCGGUGAAAUGCGUAGAUAUCACGAAGAAUACCGAUUGCGAAGGCAGUUCCCUGGAC